rfam:Amphimedon queenslandica AMPQTscaffold_13509_Cont729, whole genome shotgun sequence.
ACCAGGGUGGCCGAGUGGUUAAGGCGUUGGACUUAAGUUCCAAUGUGCGUAUGCACACAUGGGUUCGAACCCCAUUCCUGGUA